rnacentral:rRNA from 1 species
GGACCCGCACAAGCGGUGGAGCAUGUGGUUUAAUUCGAUGCAACGCGAAAAACCUUACCUAUACUUGACAUACUUGGAAUGCUUUGUAAUGAAGCAGUGCCUUCGGGAGCCAGGAUACAGGUGCUGCAUGGCUGUCGUCAGCUCGUGUCGUGAGAUGUUCCGUUAAGUCGGAUAACGAGCGCAACCCUUACCCUUAUUUGCCAGGCAUUCGGUCGGGAACUAUAAGGGGACUGCCGGUGAUAAACCGGAGGAAGGUGAGGACGACGUCAAGUCAUCAUGGCCCUUACGAGUAGGGCUACACACGUGCUACAAUGGGGAAUACAGACGGACGCUAAGCCGCGAGGUGGUG